rnacentral:lncRNA from 7 species
GGGCCAAGGCAGGGCACUGCACUGCACGCAUGCACUGACCUGACGACGACGCUGGUGGGCAAGCGACGCCGACGGCAGUGAUGGCAGAUGACAAGAAAGCAGGCGGCGGCGACGACGACAAGAAGAAGAGGCCGUGGAAAUGCUGCGACGUGCCCAUCUGCACCGUUUCUAGCUAGCUAUGCUAUGCUAGCCAUAGCCAGCGGGGACUGGUUUCUAGCGCGCAGCAGGGAGCUACGUACGUGUCUUUUAUUUUGUGACGCUGAUCCAUCGGUCAGCCUGUGCUGAUUGACGCGACCGCUACCUAGCUAGCUUCGUUCGUGGUGUGUCCUCUCGUGACCCACGAGAGUGGAGUAGAAUAAUCAUGCAUUGUUGUAUGCAACGUGCUUAGCAGCUUCGUGGUUCGUGCGUGUGCCCUCUCGUGACACACGCGUUGAGUAAAAAUAACGUGGAUGGAUCAGCCUACUGCUCCUAGCCAGGCUGCUAGCUAGCUAGCAGCUGGGAGUAGCUGCGUGCCCUUGCUGAUCUCGUGUCUCUGUCAGACCUGUUGUAAAAUCUAGUUGUACUGUGUUAUAAAUUGUAAUC